GCCAGAAGCUGCAGUGCUCUCCAGUGGAGACCAAGGACCCCCAAGCUCUCUGGGGAGAUGAAAACCUCGGCCACGAGUACGUCACCGGUGUACUUUGCUGCUGUUUCUUCAAGGAGAAUGAAAGGGACGAUCCUUAGAGGGGACUUCACGCUCUGCAGUGUGCUUUCGAGUUUCCCUUGGAGAACUUGCAAAAGAAGUUCUUGCAGAGCGGUGACAGGAGAACGAGCUGAUACCUGGCAGACGAGCUGAAUGAGAUAAGAAGUGGUGGCAGAAGAAGACAAUGCUCGUGUGGCGGUGGGUGCCGGGACUUGGUUGUGUCAUCUCUCACUUUACGCUGUUUAUACUUAUUCUACAUGUGUAAAUGUUUGCUGGGACAUUGUCGCGCUGUCUCUUAUGCUGCAGUUAUUUUGCACCUGUGAAAUGAAUGCCGUUUGCUCUACUUGAUAUAUGAGAAGCAACUGUACGAUGCCAUAGCUCUACAUACAGAAUAUAAAUUUCAUUUUCCC